rnacentral:lncRNA from 1 species
AAUUUGCCGAUUAACAAACUGCAGUGUGCACCACUGUCGUUCUGACUGACCCCGAAGUUUGGGAGGGCCACACAGCCACAGUGCAGUGGGAGUGGGUCGGUGCACCUGGACUCCGCUGCCUUGGACCUCAGUAGGAACAGUCUCCAUGGUUCUCCACAGCCCAACACCCCGACCCCACAAGCCUGUGCUGCUCUCACAACGACUGAGAGCAGGACCCCCAAGAGGACCCUCUGACAAAGCGCCACAGUCCAGGAACCAGCAGACUCUACUUGGAUGCAAACGCACUGUAACUAGGCAC